UACAGAGGUCCCAAGCGUUGUUCGGAUUCACUGGGCGUAAAGGGUGCGUAGGUGGCGAGGUAAGUCGGAUGUGAAAGCUCGGAGCUCAACUCCGAAAUGGCAUUGGAAACUACCUUGCUCGAGGGUUGGAGGGGGGACUGGAAUUCUCGGUGUAGCAGUGAAAUGCGUAGAUAUCGAGAGGAACACCAGUGGCGAAGGCGAGUCCCUGGACAACUCCUGACACUGAGGCACGAAAGCUAGGGGAGCAAACAGA
rnacentral:rRNA from 1 species